GUGAACGCUGGCGGUAGGCCUAACACAUGCAAGUCGAACGGCAGCACAGUAAGAGCUUGCUCUUACGGGUGGCGAGUGGCGGUCGGGUGAGGAAUACAUCGGAAUCUACUUUUUCGUGGGGGAUAGCGUAGGGAAACUUACGCUAAUACCGCAUACGACCUACGGGUGAAAGCAGGGGAUCUUCGGACCUUGCGCGAUUGAAUGAGCCGAUGUCGGAUUAGCUAGUUGGCGGGGUAAAGGCCCACCAAGGCGACGAUCCGUAGCUGGUCUGAGAGGAUGAUCAGCCACACUGGAACUGAGACACGGUCCAGACUCCUACGGGAGGCAGCAGUGGGGAAUAUUGGACAAUGGGCGCAAGCCUGAUCCAGCCAUACCGCGUGGGUGAAGAAGGCCUUCGGGUUGUAAAGCCCUUUUGUUGGGAAAGAAAAGCAGCAGGUUAAUACCCCGCUGUUCUGACGGUACCCAAAGAAUAAGCACCGGCUAACUUCGUG
rnacentral:rRNA from 1 species